rnacentral:rRNA from 1 species
AGACCACAGGGAUUGCCCUAGUAACGGCGAGUGAAGCGGCAACAGCUCAAAUUUGAAAUCUGGCUUUCGGGUCCGAGUUGUAAUUUGUAGAGGAUGCUUUUGGCGCGGUGCCUUCCGAGUUCCCUGGAACGGGACGCCUUAGAGGGUGAGAGCCCCGUACGGUUGGACACCAAGCCUCUGUAAAGCUCCUUCGACGAGUCGAGUAGUUUGGGAAUGCUGCUCUAAAUGGGAGGUAAAUUUCUUCUAAAGCUAAAUAUUGGCCAGAGACCGAUAGCGCACAAGUAGAGUGAUCGAAAGAUGAAAAGCACUUUGAAAAGAGGGUUAAAUAGCACGUGAAAUUGUUGAAAGGGAAGCGUUUGCGACCAGACCUUUUCUUAGCGGAUCAUCCGGUGUUAUCACCGGUGCACUUCGCUAAGUUUAGGCCAGCAUCGGUUUCUGUAGGGGGAUAAAAGCCUUGGGAACGUAGCUCCUUCGGGAGUGUUAUAGCCCUUUGCAUAAUACCCUUCUGGGGACCGAGGACCGCGCUAUAUGCAAGGAUGCUGGCAUAAUGGUCGUCAACGACCCGUCUUGAAACACGGACCAAGGAGUCGAACAUUUAUGCGAGUGUUUGGGUGUUAAACCCUCACGCGUAAUGAAAGUGAACGGAGGUGAGAGCCCUUACGGGUGCAUCAUCGACCGAUCCUGAUGUCUUCGGAUGGAUUUGAGUAAGAGCAUAACUGUUCGGACCCGAAAGAUGGUGAACUAUGCGUGGAUAGGGUGAAGCCAGAGGAAACUCUGGUGGAGGCUCGCAGCGGUUCUGACGUGCAAAUCGAUCGUCAAAUCUGCGCAUGGGGGCGAAAGACUUAUCGAACCAUCUAGUAGCUGGUUACCGCGAGCU